AAAAAAAAAAAAAGUUUAACGAAAAACAUAAAAAUAAAUAUGCUUCAGGUGAGCUCAAGCCAAAGUAUGGUCAAGCUGAGCUCAAGUCAACUCAUGACAUUGACAGUUUUACCCAGAAGUCCAAUAUAGUUUCAUGACCAAUCAGAUUGCACUACAGAGGGAAAACACAAUAGUGUUCUACAGGUACAUACUGUCUCGGAAUAACAAAAUGAUAUCAUACAUGUGAUAAUGAACUUCAAAUAUUUCAUGUAUGCUUAUGCUAACAAUAUUAAACUUGAAAUUUAAGUAAACACAAAAAAGCUAAAAAAGAAUGAUAGAACUUAAUGAUGAAAUUUACCACAAGAUCAACACCAUCA
rnacentral:misc_RNA from 1 species